rnacentral:rRNA from 2 species
GUGACCCCAGGAUGGGCGAGGCCACCCGCUGAGU